AAACUGCGAAAAGUAAUGUGACCUGCAACCUUUGAGAAACAUCCAAUAUUUGAACGCACCUUGCACCAGGCAGCUGGUAUACUUGAUUGAGAAUCGUAUAUAGUGAUAGUUGAGCAGUCAUUGAGAUGAUGUUUGAAAUGUGGGUGGGGUUAGUGGGAUAAAUGAGACAUUAACCCUGCGAGCAGUGUGUGAAGAGUAUUUAUACAUUUAGUAUGAAUAGUACAAUGCAUAUGGCACAUGGUCAGCACGCAGUCGCAUCGCAAUGUCUGACGGCAACACGAUGUGACAGGUGCCGGAGCCUCGAGUCGCUUGCGACGAGCCAGCAAAAGAUCUCAAAUCAAGUAGGGAUACCCGCUGAAUUUAA
rnacentral:misc_RNA from 1 species